rnacentral:sRNA from 1 species
AAUCCAGGCAGCGCCACGCGCGGCCGGGGCCGGGCGGAACCGAGAAGAAGCCGGGCCCGCGCUGCGACGCGCCGCCCGCAUGGAGCCCGCCGCCGGUUUCCUGUCCCCGCGCCCCUUCCAGCGUGCGGCUGCCGCGCCCGCUCCCCCGGCCGGGCCCGGGCCGCCUCCGAGUGCCUUGCCCGGACCUGAGCUGGAGGUGCUGGCCGGGCUACCGACGUCAGACCCCGGGCGCCUCAUCACGGACCCGCGCAGCGGCCGCACCUACCUCAAAGGCCGCUUGUUGGGCAAGGGGGGCUUCGCCCGCUGCUACGAGGCCACUGACACAGAGACUGGCAGCGCCUACGCUGUCAAAGUCAUCCCGCAGAGCCGCGUCGCCAAGCCGCAUCAGCGCGAGAAGAUCCUAAAUGAGAUUGAGCUGCACCGAGACCUGCAGCACCGCCACAUCGUGCGUUUUUCGCACCACUUUGAGGACGCUGACAACAUCUACAUUUUCUUGGAGCUCUGCAGCCGAAAGUCCCUGGCCCACAUCUGGAAAGCCCGGCACACCCUGUUAGAGCCAGAAGUGCGCUACUACCUGCGGCAGAUCCUUUCCGGCCUCAAGUACUUGCACCAGCGCGGCAUCUUGCACCGGGACCUCAAGUUGGGAAAUUUUUUCAUCACUGAGAACAUGGAACUGAAGGUGGGGGAUUUUGGGCUGGCAGCCCGGUUGGAGCCUCCGGAGCAGAGGAAGAAGACCAUCUGUGGCACCCCCAACUAUGUGGCUCCAGAAGUGCUGCUGAGACAGGGCCACGGCCCUGAGGCGGAUGUAUGGUCACUGGGCUGUGUCAUGUACACGCUGCUCUGCGGGAGCCCUCCCUUUGAGACGGCUGACCUGAAGGAGACGUACCGCUGCAUCAAGCAGGUUCACUACAUGCUGCCUGCCAGCCUCUCACUGCCUGCCCGGCAGCUCCUGGCUGCCAUCCUUCGGGCCUCACCCCGAGACCGCCCCUCUAUUGACCAGAUCCUGCGCCAUGACUUCUUUACCAAGGGCUAUACCCCCGAUCAACUCCCUAUCAGCAGCUGCGUGACAGUCCCAGACCUGACACCCCCCAACCCAGCUAGGAGUCUGUUUGCCAAAGUUACCAAGAGCCUCUUUGGCAGAAAGAAGAACAAGAGUAAGAAUCAUGCCCAGGAGAGGGACGAGGUCUCCGGUUUGGUGAGCGGCCUCAUGCGCACAUCCGUUGGCCAUCAGGAUGCCAGGCCAGAGGCUCCAGCAGCUUCUGGCCCAGCCCCUGUCAGCCUGGUAGAGACAGCACCUGAAGACAGCUCACCCCGUGGGACACUGGCAAGCAGUGGAGAUGGAUUUGAAGAAGGUCUGACUGUGGCCACAGUAGUGGAGUCAGCCCUUUGUGCUCUGAGAAACUGUGUAGCCUUCAUGCCCCCAGCGGAACAGAACCCGGCCCCCCUGGCCCAGCCAGAGCCUCUGGUGUGGGUCAGCAAGUGGGUUGACUACUCCAAUAAGUUCGGCUUUGGGUAUCAACUGUCCAGCCGCCGUGUGGCUGUGCUCUUCAACGAUGGCACACAUAUGGCCCUGUCGGCCAACAGAAAGUAAGUGCUGUUAUGGGGUGCCUUGUAUUCAGGCCACUAAUCCAGCAGGGCCGCACCCUCGUGUGUGCUCCUGGGCUCAGGGGUCUGGGUUUCUCAGGGGAGGGGCAUUGGUGCAGGGCUCUCUCUGACCUCUGCCUCCCCAUUCUAGGACUGUGCACUACAACCCCACCAGCACAAAGCACUUCUCCUUCUCCGUGGGGGCUGUGCCCCGGGCCCUGCAGCCUCAGCUGGGUAUCCUGCGGUACUUCGCCUCCUACAUGGAGCAGCACCUCAUGAAGGGUGGAGAUCUGCCCAGUGUGGAAGAGGUAGAGGUACCUGCUCCGCCCUUGCUGCUGCAGUGGGUCAAGACGGAUCAGGCUCUCCUCAUGCUGUUUAGUGACGGCACUGUCCAGGUGAACUUCUACGGGGACCACACCAAGCUGAUUCUCAGUGGCUGGGAGCCCCUCCUUGUGACUUUUGUGGCCCGAAAUCGUAGUGCUUGUACUUACCUCGCUUCCCACCUUCGGCAGCUGGGCUGCUCUCCAGACCUGCGGCAAAGACUCCGCUAUGCUCUGCGCCUACUCCGGGACCGCAGCCCAGCCUAGGACUCAAGCUCUGAGGCCUGAGGCCUGUGCCUGUAAGGCUCUGGCCCUUGCCUUUGUGGCCCUCCCCCUUCCUUUGGUGCCUCACUGGGGGCUUUGGGCCGAAUCCCCCAGGCAAUCAGGGACCAGCUUUACCGGAGUUGGGGGCAGCUUGUCUUCGCUGGCUCCUACCCCCUCUCCAAGAUAAGCCUGAGCCUUAGCUCCCAGCUAGGGGGCGUUAUUUAUGGACCACUUUUAUUUAUUGUCAGACACUUAUUUAUUGGGAUGUGAGCCCCAGGGGGGCCUCCUCCUAGGAUAAUAAACAAUUUUGCAGAA